rnacentral:rRNA from 1 species
UACGUAGGGUGCGAGCGUUGUCCGGAAUUAUUGGGCGUAAAGGGCUCGUAGGCGGUUUGUCGCGUCGGGAGUGAAAACUCAGGGCUUAACCCUGAGCCUGCUCCCGAUACGGGCAGACUAGAGGUAUGCAGGGGAGAACGGAAUUCCUGGUGUAGCGGUGAAAUGCGCAGAUAUCAGGAGGAACACCGGUGGCGAAGGCGGGUCUCUGGGCCGAUACUGACGCUGAGGAGCGAAAGCGUGGGGAGCGAACAGG